rnacentral:rRNA from 1 species
CUUUAACUCUGGCGGCAUGCUUUACACAUGCAAGUCGAACGGCAGCGCGGGCUUCGGCCUGGCGGCGAGUGGCGAACGGGUGAGUAAUGCAUCGGAACGUGCCCAGUAGUGGGGGAUAGCCCGGCGAAAGCCGGAUUAAUACCGCAUACGACCUGAGGGUGAAAGCGGGGGACCGAAAGGCCUCGCGCUAUUGGAGCGGCCGAUGUCGGAUUAGCUAGUUGGUGGGGUAAAGGCUUACCAAGGCGACGAUCCGUAGCUGGUCUGAGAGGACGACCAGCCACACUGGGACUGAGACACGGCCCAGACUCCUACGGGAGGCAGCAGUGGGGAAUUUUGGACAAAGGGGGCAACCCUGAUCCAGCCAUGCCGCGUGCGGGAAGAAGGCCUUCGGGUUGUAAACCGCUUUUGUUCGGGAAGAAAUCCUCUGGGCUAAUACCCCGGGGGGAUGACGGUACCGGAAGAAUAAGCACCGGCUAACUACGUG